CCUACGGGUCGCAGCAGUAGGGAAUCUUCGGCAAUGGACGAAAGUCUGACCGAGCAACGCCGCGUGAGUGAAGAAGGUUUUCGGAUCGUAAAACUCUGUUGUUAGAGAAGAACAAGUAGGAGAGUAACUGCUCUUACCGUGACGGUACCUAACGAGAAAGCCACGGCUAACUACGUGCCAGCAGCCGCGGUAAUACGUAGGUGGCAAGCGUUGUCCGGAAUUAUUGGGCGUAAAGCGCGCGCAGGCGGUUCCUUAAGUCUGAUGUGAAAGCCCACGGCUCAACCGUGGAGGGUCAUUGGAAACUGGGGGACUUGAGUGCAGAAGAGGAGAGCGGAAUUCCACGUGUAGCGGUGAAAUGCGUAGAGAUGUGGAGGAACACCAGUGGCGAAGGCGGCUCUCUGGUCUGUAACUGACGCUGAGGCGCGAAAGCGUGGGGAGCAAACAGGAUUAGAUACCCGAGUAGUC
rnacentral:rRNA from 1 species